GUUUUAUUUAUAUCAUUUCUGUCAGGUCCAUUAAGUCAAGAACAACGCAGACAAUAAAAAUGCUUUAAAGAAAUUUGAUUG